rnacentral:rRNA from 1 species
GAUGAACGCUGGCGGCGUGCCUAAUACAUGCAAGUCGAGCGAACAGACGAGGAGCUUGCUCCUCUGACGUUAGCGGCGGACGGGUGAGUAACACGUGGAUAACCUACCUAUAAGACUGGGAUAACUUCGGGAAACCGGAGCUAAUACCGGAUAAUAUAUUGAACCGCAUGGUUCAAUAGUGAAAGACGGUUUUGCUGUCACUUAUAGAUGGAUCCGCGCCGCAUUAGCUAGUUGGUAAGGUAACGGCUUACCAAGGCAACGAUGCGUAGCCGACCUGAGAGGGUGAUCGGCCACACUGGAACUGAGACACGGUCCAGACUCCUACGGGAUGCAGCAGUAGGGAAUCUUCCGCAAUGGGCGAAAGCCUGACGGAGCAACGCCGCGUGAGUGAUGAAGGUCUUCGUAUCUUAAAACUCUGUUAUUAGGGAAGAACAAAUGUGCAAGUAACUAUGCACGUCUUGACGGUACCUAAUCAGAAAGCCACGGCUAACUACGUG